rnacentral:rRNA from 1 species
UCGGGAAUUUUGGGCAAUGGGCGAAAGCCUGACCCAGCAACGCCGCGUGAAGGAUGAAGUAUUUCGGUAUGUAAACUUCGUAAGAAUAGGAAGAAUAAAUGACGGUACUAUUUGUAAGGUCCGGCUAACUACGUGCCAGCAGCCGCGGUAAUACGUAGGGACCAAGCGUUGUUCGGAUUUACUGGGCGUAAAGGGCGCGUAGGCGGUGUGUCAAGUCUGCUGUGAAAGCCUCGGGCUCAACCUGGGAACUGCAGUGGAUACUGAUGGGCUAGAGUGUGAUAGAGGAUGGUGGAAUUCCCGGUGUAGCGGUGAAAUGCGUAGAGAUCGGGAGGAACAUCAGUGGCGAAGGCGGCCAUCUGGAUCAACACUGACGCUGAGGCACGAAAGCCAGGGGAGCAAACGGGAUUAGAUACCCACGUAGUCCCUGAGCGGGCUGGCAAGGCGCAU